UUGCUUCAGCAGCAUGUGUACAAAAUUGGAAAAAUACAGAGAAGAUUAGCAUGUAACCACACAAAUAUGACACACAUAUUUCUGAAGCAUUCCAUAUUUUU
rnacentral:snRNA from 1 species